AUCGUCAAUCUGUUGCGGCGCGAUAAAGUGGAUAUGCGCGUCCAUCCCGCCAGCGGUCAGGAUGCGGCCUUCGCCCGCGAUGAUCUCGGUUCCGGGGCCAAUGAUGACAUUGACGCCCGGUUGCGUGUCGGGGUUGCCCGCCUUGCCGAUCACCGCGAUGCGGCCAUCGCGCAGGCCGACAUCGGCCUUGUAGAUGCCUGUCCAGUCCACGAUCAGGGCAUUGGUGAUUACCGUGUCCAUCGCGCCUUGUGCGCGGGUCAGCUGCGACUGGCCCAUGCCAUCGCGGAU
rnacentral:sRNA from 1 species